rnacentral:tRNA from 1 species
GCCUAGAUGGCUCAGUGAGUAGAGCGCGUGACUCUCGACCUCAGGGUUGUGGGUUCAAGCCCCGUGUUGGGCA